GGAAGAUCCCCUGAAGGGGGAAAUGGCAACCCACUCCAGUAUUCUUGCCUGAAGAAUCCCAUGGACAGAGGAGCCUGGCAGGCUACAGUCCAUGGGGUCGCAAAGAACUGGACAUUACUGAAGGACUCGGCACACACACAGUGUA